UGAGCCGGCCGGGUGGCCGCGGCACGGCUUGGUCCUGGACCGGGACCGUGUCGAGGAAGGUCGGGACUCCACAGGGCAGGGUGCUGGCCAACAGCCAGUCGGGGCGACCCGAAGGACAGUGCCACAGAGAGCAGACCGCCGAUGGCGGUCCCGGAAGCGGGAUCGCACAGGCAAGGGUGAAACGGUGCGGUAAGAGCGCACCAGCGUCCGGGGUGACCCGGACGGCUCGGUAAACCCCACCCGGAGCAAGGCCGAACAGGGGACAUGGGCUGCCCGUCCCGCCGGCACCCGCCGGCGAUCCCCAGGUGGGCCGCACAGAUGGAUGGCCACCGGCGCCGAUCGGCGUCACAGAAUCCCGCCUACAGGCCGGCUCACCGU
rnacentral:RNase_P_RNA from 1 species